AUUCAGCCAAUUGGCGAAUAUUUUUGAUUUGAAUUUGUAAACAACCGUCGGUGUUCUGGUGUCAACGUUCUUCGUAAAAUUUAUAUUUAUUCAACAAAUGUUGUAAAUGUCAGCAUUAAUUUAAUUCUUAGUGUUAUGGAUAAUUGCCAAUGAGUGCUGUGUACCAAACUGCAGAGGAUUUUACAAAGUUGAUGGUACAAAAGUAUUAAAUUUUGGAUUUCCCAAUACGUAAGAAAUGGCUUGCCGCCAUGCCAAGAGAUUUUGAAGUUGCAAAGAAUUCUAAAGUAUGUGAGAUGCAUUUCAAGGAAAAUGACAUUA